rnacentral:rRNA from 1 species
CGCGGUGAAUACGUUCCCGGACCUUGUACACACCGCCCGUCAAGCCAUGGAAGCUGGGUGUACCUAAAGUCGGUAACCGCAAGGAGCCGCCUAGGGUAAAACUAGUAACUGGGGCUAAGUCGUAAACAAGGUACC